rnacentral:rRNA from 1 species
GACGAACGCUGGCGGCGUGCUUAACACAUGCAAGUCGAACGGUGAAGCGCCUUCCUUUUUGGUGGGUGUGGAUGAGUGGCGAACGGGUGAGUAACACGUGAGUAACCUGCCCCCUUCUUCUGGAUAACCGCAUGAAAGUGUGGCUAAUACGGGAUAUUCUGGGUCUGUCGCAUGAUGGGUCUGGGAAAGAUAUUGUUUCGGUGGGGGAUGGGCUCGCGGCCUAUCAGCUUGUUGGUGGGGUGAUGGCCUACCAAGGCGGUGACGGGUAGCCGGCCUGAGAGGGUGGACGGUCACACUGGGACUGAGACACGGCCCAGACUCCUACGGGAGGCAGCAGUGGGGAAUAUUGCACAAUGGGCGCAAGCCUGAUGCAGCGACGCCGCGUGAGGGAUGGAGGCCUUCGGGUUGUGAACCUCUUUCGCCAGUGAAGCAGGCCUGCCUCGUUUGUGGGUGGGUUGACGGUAGCUGGAUAAGAAACGCCGGCUAACUACGUG